UACGGAGGAUCCGAGCGUUAUCCGGAAUUAUUGGGUUUAAAGGGUGCGUAGGCGGCCAUUUAAGUCAGCGGUGAAAUUUUGCAGCUUAACUGUAACAGUGCCGUUGAUACUGUUUGGCUAGGAUUUGGUUGUAGUGUGCGGAAUGUGUGGUGUAGCGGUGAAAUGCUUAGAUAUGACACAGAACACCGAUUGCGAAGGCAGCUUACUGGGAUGCCACUGACACUGAGGCACGAAAGCGUGGGGAUCAAACAGGAUUAGAUA
rnacentral:rRNA from 1 species